rnacentral:rRNA from 1 species
UACGGAGGGGGCUAGCGUUGUUCGGAAUUACUGGGCGUAAAGCGCGCGUAGGCGGCUUUGUAAGUUAGAGGUGAAAUCCCGAGGCUCAACUUCGGAAUUGCCUUUGAAACGGGGAUCGCUCGAGUCCGAGAGAGGAUGGCGGAAUUCCUAGUGUAGAGGUGAAAUUCGUAGAUAUUCGCAAGAACACCAGUGGCGAAGGCGGCUCACUGGUCCGGUUCUGACGCUGAGGCGCGAAAGCGUGGGGAGCAA